rnacentral:sRNA from 1 species
UAGUUUCUGAGGUCUAUUCUUACGGUGG